UUCCUACGGGAGGCAGCAGUAGGGAUUUAUUCUAUGGGUGCGAGCCUGAUCCAGCCAUGCCGUACUGGGAAGACGGCCUUCUGGGUUGUAAACUGCUUUUAUCUGGGGAUAAAAAGCCCGUGCGCGGGCAAUUGAAGUUUACCAGAUGAAUAAGCCACGGCUAACUACGUGCCAGCAGCCGCGGUAAUACGUAGGUGGCAAGCGUUGUCCGGAUUUAUUGGGUUUAAAGGGUGCGUAGGCGGUCUGUUAAGUCAGUGGUGAAAUACUUCAGCUCAACUGGAGAGGUGCCAUUGAUACUGGCGGACUUGAGUACUGAUGAGGUAGGCGGAAUGGACGGUGUAGCGGUGAAAUGCUUAGAUAUCGUCCAGAACACCGAUAGCGAAGGCAGCUUACUAAGGAGUAACUGACGCUGAUGCACGAAAGUGUGGGGAUCAAACAGGAUUAGAUACCCUGGUAGUCCACACUGUAAACGUUGAUCACUCGAUGUUGGCGAUACACAGCCCGCGUCUUAGCGAAAGCGAUAAGUGAUCCACCUGGGGAGUACGCCGGCAGCGGUGAAACUCAAAGGAAUUGACGGGGGCCCGCACAAGCGGUGGAGCAUGUGGUUUAAUUCGAUGAUACGCGAGGAACCUUACCUGGGGCUAGAAUGCCCUUGACCGAUCCAGAGACGGAUCUUUCAGCAAUGACAAGGAGCAAGGUGCUGCAUGGCUGUCGUCAGCUCGUGCCGUGAGGUGUUGGGUUAAGUCCCGCAACGAGCGCAACCCUUAUCUUUAGUUGCCAGCACGUAAUGGUGGGGACUCUAGAGAGACUGCCUGCGCAAGCAGAGAGGAAGGAGGAGAUGACGUCAAGUCAUCAUGGCCCUUACGCCACAGGGCUUCACACGUGCUACAAUGGCGUCUACAAAGUGUUGCAAGCCAGCGAUGGUGAGCCAAUCACAUGUAGCGUCUCAGUUCGGAUUGCAGGCUGCAUCGAAUAAACAAU
rnacentral:rRNA from 1 species